UGAGGAAUAUUGGACAAUGGGCGCAAGCCUGAUCCAGCCAUGCCGCGUGCAGGAAGAAGCAUCUAUGGUGUGUAAACUGCUUUUGUACGGGAAGAAACACUCCUACGUGUAGGAGCUUGACGGUACCGUAAGAAUAAGGAUCGGCUAACUCCGUGCCAGCAGCCGCGGUAAUACGGAGGAUCCAAGCGUUAUCCGGAAUCAUUGGGUUUAAAGGGUCCGUAGGCGGUUUAGUAAGUCAGUGGUGAAAGCCCAUCGCUCAACGAUGGAACGGCCAUUGAUACUGCUAGACUUGAAUUACAAGGAAGUAACUAGAAUAUGUAGUGUAGCGGUGAAAUGCUUAGAUAUUACAUGGAAUACCAAUUGCGAAGGCAGGUUACUACUUGUGGAUUGACGCUGAUGGACAAAAGCGUGGGGAGCGAACA
rnacentral:rRNA from 1 species